rnacentral:rRNA from 1 species
CCAAUAGCGUAUAUUAAAGUUGUUGCAGUUAAAAAGCUCGUAGUUGAAUUUCGGGAUUGACGUGACGGUCGUGCCUUAAGGGGUAUGAACUGUCGCCGUUGAUUUCUCACCUUCUGGAGAAGCUCGAUGUCCUUAAUUGGAUGUCUUGUGGAACCAGGACCUUUACCUUGAAAAAAUUAGAGUGUUUAAAGCAGGCAUUUUGCUCGAAUACAUUAGCAUG